UUUACUAUAUUUCUAGGGUUCACGAGAGAUGGGAAAUAUUUUUCUUUUUCUUUUUUGAUUGCCUUUAAUAUGUGCUAUUUUAGUUCUAUGUUUAUUAUUUGCUAGAUUGUUAAUCUGUUGUGUAAUCAAGUAUUCCAGACGGGAGCGGGUUGAUGACAUCCUGCACCUCAAUGCUGGAUUCAACGCGGCCCCGAUGUUUCAGAACUUCUUCCCCCGCUAUUCAGUCCAUAAUCCAGCAUUACAAGUACAAUCUCACUAAAGGUAAAAAAAGUAAGUUAAAGUCAAUAUUGUAAUCUUUUUUAAUCUAUUUGCUACUGUACAUAGUAUAGUUUUAAUGCAAGUAGGCUAGCAUCCUGACUUAGCUUGCCGAAAAAUUAAAUUUUAUUCAGCUAAUAAAUACUCCGUAGUUGGUAACAUCAAUCUGAUUUAGAUGUCAGGUAGCAUUAGAGUAUAGGUUUUAUGGAUAUCUUACUAGACAAAAAAGGGUUUUAAAUAAACUGAAUCGACCUUUCAUUUGAGUUGAUAGUUGAGCUUUUGUCUCCAUUUUCUCCGAUACCCCUGACAUUUUAAUUUUUUUCCAGUUCUUUUAGCUGUCAUAAAGGUUUAACUUCAUAAACUUGAUAAUCGAAUUUCAUGCUGGAGCCAAAAAAACUUCUGUGACCCUCAUCUGUUCUACUUAUUGUGAUAGAAGCCAAUAUAGCACUUGUUCAUGUUGGACAAUUUUUUCUGUAUCAAGACAUGCUACUUAGACCUUUGGUUAAUUUAGUAUUCUUGUUCUGCGAGAUCGGUUGUGGAUCCUAUCUGUCUUUAAAGUUCCAAGUAUUAGCGAAGAUCUUAGAUUUUGCCCUUUGUGCUGCUAACCAGCUAGGGCUACAGCCUACAAUUGCAUUCAUCUUAAUGAAGUCAUCUUCAUACACCCUCAUGAAUGGAAGAAAUUCUUUGUGCAUAGGCUGUUGUGCUGGUAUUUGGAAAUUGUUUCCUCAAAGCAGCAGAAAUCUUGAUUUAGUUGCCUUGUUGGGUUUUCAUACUUGUAUUUGAAGGCCACCGAUGCAGGAAAAUUGCGUGCAGAAUACAGUCGCCUCGUUGAAGGAUUGGCUCAAAGGGGAAAUUUAUCGAGUAUGUCAUUACUUCGUAGGCAUUUUUCUCGAAGAUGGUUUGUCGCCUUUUUCUGGUGGUGGCAAUUUGUUUCAAUAUAUUGAAAUUUUUAACGCUUUUGCUAUUAAGUUUUUAGGUGGCGAUACUUGGCUUUCCAACCCGGCUCUGCCUGAUGAUAUCUUAAAAGAGGCGGUACCAGGGAAUAUUCGCCGAGCAGAGCAUUUUUUAUCUGUUUUGCGUAGAUUGGUGCAAUAUAGGCCGGUUACAAACUGAGAAUUUUGAAAAGGAGUCACCUGUUUCUUUUGUAGCAUCCCUACAUGCGCAAGCUGGACUUGAUCAAAAAACCUUGAAAUUCUGUUAUGACCGCCUGCACUCCCUGAUGUUGACCCUUGAAAUAACUGAUACAGAUGAGUUCUUAAGUAUUCAGACAAUCUAAAAUGAAAUAAUGCAGCAUAAGCUUGUUUUCAUCGAAACUCAAGAUGUUGUAGAAACUACUGGCUCUGGACAACUAUCGCAAGGCUUGUGAUUGUGGGAGAGGUGCUUUUGUCUUUUUCUCUGUUGCCAGGGGAAAGGUAGCCGAAGGUAUAGAUUUUGAUCGACAUUAUAGUGAUCAUGUUUGGUGUUCCAUUCCAGUACACUUUGAGCAAAAUACGCGAAGGUCAGAACCAAUAGUUCGUCAGUGAAUGGAUCUUUACAUCUUAAUACAGUAUCUCAGUGUAAGCAGUGGUCAAAUAUGUUCCUAUUUAACUUAAUGCUAUUGGUUUGAAUGAUGAGGACAAUAUUGAGAAAAACGAAGCCUGCUCUCAGGGAAAUUGAGAAAUGGAUUCAUUUAACAUCUUAUUUGUCCAUCGGUUUUUAGUUUAUCUUGUUUACAUGAGAAAGACUCCUAGCUGAUAUGCAAAGUCUCGUAUUGGAACUA